rnacentral:misc_RNA from 1 species
AUGUCGUCUUGGCAAAAAGCUGGUUUCUCUUUCAACAAAUAUCUGUCAAUUGCUGCCAGAACUGUCAGAAAAUCUCUGAACAGCGACAUCAGAGUUGCUGCUGAAAAGAGAGGAAUUACUGAUCUUAAGGCUCAAGUAAUUGAGAAAGGUGACAUUAAGUCAACUGUUGAGCUAGGCUCUAGAUAG